CAACUAAAAUAACAGAACUGACACUAAAUAUGCCUGCCAUAUUAAUAAAUAUAAAUGGGAAAACUUACUUUUAAAAAGAAGCUGUUCAAGUCCAGGCAUGGUGGCUCACUCAUGUAGUCCCAGAACUUUGGGAGGCCAAGGCAGGAGGAUCACUUGAGCCUAAGAGUUCCAGACCAACCUGGGCAAUAUGGUGAAACCCUGUUGCUACAAGAAAUGCAAAAAUUAGCCAGGCAUCUGGUGGUAUGCAUCUGUGGUCCCAGCUACUUGGGAAGAUGAGGUGAAAAGGUUGCUUGCACCUGGGAGGCUGAGGCAGGAGAAUCACUUGAACCCGGGAGGCAGAGGUUGCAGUAAGCUGAGAUUGUGCCACUGCACUCCAGCCUGUGCAACAGAGUGAGACUCCAUCUCACAAUAAUAACAGUCACAACCUGUAUA
rnacentral:lncRNA from 1 species